UCUCAUGACAGGCUACCCGCUGAAUUUAAGCAUAUUAAUAAGCGGAGGCARAGGAAACAACUGUGAUACCCUUAGUAAUGGCGAAUGAACAGGGUAAACGGUUCAACACGAAUCGAGAAGGCAGGCAACUGCAUUUCUCGGAUGACGUGUAGAGAGUCGACCAAUGGCUUGCUCUGUACCGCCCAGUUCAAGUUCAACUUGACCGUGGCCRUUCUUCCGGAGAGGGUGAAAGGCCUGUAUGACAGGCGGUGCAGGCAGUCAGGUUGAUUCUUSGAGUAGAUUUGCUUGAAAGUGCAGGUCUAAGGACGCGGUAAACUCCACGUCAAGCUAAAUACAGCCACCAGGCUGAUAGCGGACAAGUACAGUGAUGGAAAUUUGAAAAGAACUUUGAAGAGAGAGUUAAGAGUACGUGAAACCAAUAGUCGGUAAACGAAGCCUAUCUCAAAGUGUUCGCUUCCGAAGUUCAGCCUGCCCUUUCAGGCGGCWGGUGCAUUCUUUGGAAGCGUGCGGUGGUAGGAACUGCUCUCGACAGUUAUCAGCUAGCUAGAUGGCUUGUUGCCGCUGCUGCGGGUUCAAGCUCUAGCGUCAGGCUGUGCCAUUGUCGAAGGCAGGGAGUGAUUCUCCGGAUCCUCUA
rnacentral:rRNA from 1 species